GGUAUGGAGACUGAAGUGUACUCUUAUCCACAGGGAUGGGCAGUCCCUCCGGUCUUUGGAGGGACAUUGGCAGAACAGGAGAUCUACCAAAAAUGAAAGGAAUUUAGAUUUCUGUAGAAAAGAUACAUGACAAGGACUGGUAUCAUCACUAUACAAACCACUAUAAAUGUGCAGCAAGGGGGAUUUGGGGCACAGAAACAGAUACUAAUGGCUCUAAGAACCAAAUAUUGUGGCAUUUGUGUAGCCCUAAAAGAAAACAGAGGGAAAGGACCAACAUUACGGUAA